rnacentral:rRNA from 1 species
AGGAAUUGGCGGGGGAGCACCACAACGCGUGGAGCCUGCGGUUUAAUUGGAUUCAACGCCGGACAUCUCACCAGAGGCGACAGCUGUAUGAUAGCCAGGUUGAUGACUUUGCUUGACUAGCUGAGAGGAGGUGCAUGGCCGCCGUCAGCUCGUACCGCGAGGCGUCCUGUUAAGUCAGGCAACGAGCGAGACCCACGCCCUUAGUUACCAGCGGAUCCUUUUUUGGAUGCCGGGCACACUAAGGGGACCGCCUAUGAUAAAUAGGAGGAAGGAGUGGACGACGGUAGGUCCGUAUGCCCCGAAUCCUCUGGGCAACACGCGGGCUACAAUGGCUGAGACAAUGGGUUCCGACACCGAAAGGUGGAGGUAAUCCUCUAAACUUAGUCGUAGUUCGGAUUGAGGACUGUAACUCGUUCUCAUGAAGCUGGAAUGCGUAGUAAUCGCGUAUCACUAUUGCGCGGUGAAUACGUCCCUGCUCCUUGCACACACCGC